rnacentral:rRNA from 1 species
UACGCAUGACAUCCCGGGGCCGGCAUGGUCCUGGGAUCAAAGGAGCAAUCCGCUGAGAGAUGGACUCGCGUCCGAUUAGCUAGUUGGUGAGAUAAAGGCCCACCAAGGCGACGAUCGGUAGCCGGACUGAGAGGUUGAACGGCCACAUUGGGACUGAGACACGGCCCAGACUCCUACGGGAGGCAGCAUG